GGAAAAGAAACCAACAGGGAUUGCCUUAGUAACGGCGAGUGAAGCGGCAACAGCUCAAAUUUGAAAUCUGGCCCUCGGGUCCGAAUUGUAAUUUGUAGAGGAUGAUUUUGGUGCGGUAUCUUCCGAGUUCCUUGGAACAGGACGCCUUAGAGGGUGAGAGCCCCGUACGGUUGAAUGCCUAGCCUCUGUAAAUCUCCUUCGACGAGUCGAGUAGUUUGGGAAUGCUGCUCUAAAUGGGAGGUAAAUUUCUUCUAAAGCUAAAUAUUGGCCAGAGACCGAUAGCGCACAAGUAGAGUGAUCGAAAGAUGAAAAGCACUUUGAAAAGAGGGUUAAAUAGCACGUGAAAUUGUUGAAAGGGAAGGAUUUGUGACCAGACUUUUUCUGGGCGGAUCAUCCGGGGUUCUCUCCGGUGCACUUUGCCCAGUAAAGGCCAGCAUCGAUUUUCGGCGGCGGAUAAAAGCAGUGGGAAUGUGGCUCCCUACGGGGAGUGUUAUAGCCCAUUGUAUAAUACGCUGCUGGGGAUCGAGGUACGCGCUUCUGCAAGGAUGCUGGCGUAA
rnacentral:rRNA from 1 species